GACGAACGCUGGCGGCGUGCUUAACACAUGCAAGUCGAACGGUGAACCCGUGCCUUUGUGGGAUGCUCGGCGAACGGGCGAGUAAGACGCGCGUAACUUGCCUGCGCUUGUCUGUUAAAUCCCUUCAAGUAGGGCGAACUCCUGCCGUGUCGGCGCUCCGGAUGCAUUGGGGGGGUUAGGGAGUUUCGGCGGGUGGGGAUGGGCCCGCGUCUUAUCAGCUUGUUGGUGGGGUAGUGGCUUACCAAGGCGUCGACGGGUAGCCGGCCUGAGAGGGUGACCGGCCACACUGGGACUGAGAUACGGCCCAGACUCCUACGGGAGGCAGCAGUGGGGAAUAUUGCACAAUGGGCGGAAGCCUGAUGCAGCAACGCCGCGUGCGGGAUGACGGCCUUCGGGUUGUAAACCGCUUUCGGCUGGGACGAAGCGUGAGUGACGGUAACUGGAAAAGAAGCACCGGCUAACUACGUG
rnacentral:rRNA from 1 species